rnacentral:rRNA from 1 species
GACGAACGCUGGCGGCGUGCCUAACACAUGCAAGUUGAGCGACGAACCAGGGCUUGCCCUGGGGCAAAGCAGCGAACGGGUGAGUAACACGUGGGUAACCUACCCCGAUAACCGGGACAACCCGAGGAAACUCGGGCUAAUACCGGAUGUGCUCACUGGACUUCGGUUCAGUGCGUAAAGGAAGCUUCGGCCUCCGUAUCGGGAGGGGCCCGCGGCCCAUUAGUUUGUUGGUGAGGUAACGGCUCACCAAGACCGCGAUGGGUAGCUGGUCUGAGAGGACGAUCAGCCACACUGGGACUGAGACACGGCCCAGACUCCUACGGGAGGCAGCAGUGGGGAAUCUUGCGCAAUGCGCGAAAGCGUGACGCAGCAACGCCGCGUGGGGGAAGAAGGCCUUCGGGUUGUAAACCCCUUUCAGGAGGGACGAAGGUUCGGCGGUGAAUAGCCGUCCGGACUGACGGUACCUCCACAAGAAGCCCCGGCUAACUACGUG